rnacentral:miRNA from 1 species
AAAAAUAGACAUUUUGAAAAAGGUUGGAAACCUGUAACCAUUGACCUCCAUAGUAUUUGUUUCUCCCACAAUGGAAGUCAAUGGUUACAGGUUUUCAGCAUUCUUCAAAACAUCUUCUUUUGUGUU